CGGCGGACGGGUGAGUAAUGCCUAGGAAUCUGCCUGGUAGUGGGGACAACGUUUCGAAAGGAACGCUAAUACCGCAUACGUCCUACGGGAGAAAGCNGGGACCUUCGGGCCUUGCGCUAUCAGAUGAGCCUAGGUCGGAUUAGCUAGUUGGUGAGGUAAUGGCUCACCAAGGCGACGAUCCGUAACUGGUCUGAGAGGAUGAUCAGUCACACUGGAACUGAGACACGGUCCAGACUCCUACGGGAGGCAGCAGCC
rnacentral:rRNA from 1 species